GCCCCCAUAGACUAGAGGUUAGGUCACCACUCUUUCAAGGUGGUCGCGCCGGUUCAAGUCCGGCUGGGGGCG
rnacentral:tRNA from 1 species